GUCCUCGUGGUGUAGUGGUUAUCAUACUCUCUUAGGGUUGUCCUGAGCAUCUUAUGGGAGUGGCCCCGCGUUCGAAUCGCGGCGAGGACC